AAUUGAAACUGUUGAAUUAUUAAACUUCCUGAAACCAAAUGUCCAAACCUCACACUGAAUGUUCAUAUCCAGCAUUCUUAUUCGCAUUUGGAAACUCUAAUGAUUGAAACUGCUAAAUUUUUAGGUCCUCUACAAAUUUUUGGACUACUUUAGCAAGUUUGACUGGGAAACAUAUUGUAUUUGUUUAACUGGUCUUGCUCGCAUAUCAUCUUUGCCAGAAAUUGUGGUUGAGGUUCCUGAAAAUGAUGGUGGUGAGUUACUGCUCAACAAUGAUUUUCUUAGAUAUUGUGUCAAAAUGUUUUCUGUUUCUUCAAGAGGGUAUGACAUGAACUCCAGAACCUUUCAACAAAAGCAUCUUACCAUAGUUGAUCCUCUGAAGGAAAAUAAAAAUCUUGGCCGUAGUGUCAGCAAAGGAAAUUUCUAUACAAUAUGGAGUGCUUUCACAUAUGGUGCUAGGAAGCUCAAGAGAAUACUCUUGUAGUUAGACGAUAAAAUUGUUGCCGAGCUUCAUAAUUUUUUUGCCAACACUUUGGGUCGACAUGGAAAUGGGCAGAGGCCUGAUGUUCAAGAUCUUUAGUCCAGUAGCUAGCUGUAAUAGUUUUUGUCAUAGUAACUUUACUUUUGUUAUUGCUAAUGAGUAUGAAUAUUUAAAUAUAAUAUAUUUUGCAAUUAUAUUA